rnacentral:rRNA from 1 species
UAGGGAAUCUUCCGCAAUGGACGAAAGUCUGACGGAGCAACGCCGCGUGAGUGAAGAAGGAUUUCGGUUCGUAAAACUCUGUUGUUAGGGAAGAAAAAAUGUAUAGUAACUAUAUACAAAAGAGACGGUACCUAACCAGAAAGCCACGGCUAACUACGUGCCAGCAGCCGCGGUAAUACGUAGGUGGCAAGCGUUGUCCGGAAUUAUUGGGCGUAAAGUGCGCGCAGGUGGUUUAGAAAGUCUGAUGUGAAAGCCCACGGCUCAACCGUGGAGGGUCAUUGGAAACUAAUAAACUUGAGUGCAGGAGAGAAAAGUGGAAUUCCUAGUGUAGCGGUGAAAUGCGUAGAGAUUAGGAGGAACACCGGUGGCGAAAGCGGCUUUUUGGCCUGCAACUGACACUGAGGCGCGAAAGCGUGGGAAGCAAACAGG